UACGUAGGGUGCAAGCGUUAUCCGGAAUUAUUGGGCGUAAAGAGCUCGUAGGCGGUUUGUCGCGUCUGCUGUGAAAACUCGGGGCUUAACCCCGGGCCUGCAGUGGGUACGGGCAAACUAGAGUGCGGUAGGGGAGACUGGAAUUCCUGGUGUAGCGGUGAAAUGCGCAGAUAUCGGGAGGAACACCGGUGGCGAAGGCGGUUCUCUGGGCCUGUACUGACGCUGAGGAGCGAAAGCGUGGGGAGCGAACAGG
rnacentral:rRNA from 1 species